UGGGAACGCGAAGAACCUUACCAGGGCUUGACAUCCCUCUGACCGGGUGGUAACGCACCCUUCCCUUCGGGGCAGAGGAGACAGGUGGUGCAUGGUUGUCGUCAGCUCGUGUCGUGAGAUGUUGGGUUAAGUCCCGCAACGAGCGCAACCCUUGUCAUUAGUUGCCAGCAGUUCGGCUGGGCACUCUAGUGAGACUGCCGGGGAUAACUCUGAGGAAGGUGGGGAUGACGUCAAAUCAUCAUGCCCCUUAUGUUCUGGGCUACACACGUGCUACAAUGGCUGGUACAGAGAGAAGCAAAACCGCGAGGCGGAGCAAAUCUCCAAAACCAGUCCCAGUUCGGAUUGCAGGCUGCAACUCGUCUGCAUGAAGUCGGAAUCGCUAGUAAUCGCGGACCAGCAUGCCGCGGUGAAUACGUUCCCGGGUCUUGUACACACCG
rnacentral:rRNA from 1 species